UACGAAGGGGACUAGCGUUGUUCGGAAUCACUGGGCGUAAAGCGCACGUAGGCGGAUUUGUAAGUCAGGGGUGAAAUCCUGGAGCUCAACUCCAGAACUGCCUUUGAUACUGGGGAUCUCGAGUCCGGAAGAGGUGAGUGGAACUCCGAGUGUAGAGGUGAAAUUCGUAGAUAUUCGGAAGAACACCAGUGGCGAAGGCGGCUCACUGGUCCGGUACUGACGCUGAGGUGCGAAAGUGUGGGGAGCGAACAGG
rnacentral:rRNA from 1 species